rnacentral:rRNA from 1 species
UACGAAGGGGGCUAGCGUUGCUCGGAAUCACUGGGCGUAAAGCGCACGUAGGCGGCUUUCUAAGUCAGGGGUGAAAUCCUGGAGCUCAACUCCAGAACUGCCUUUGAUACUGGGAAGCUCGAGUCCGGAAGAGGUGAGUGGAACUGCGAGUGUAGAGGUGAAAUUCGUAGAUAUUCGCAAGAACACCAGUGGCGAAGGCGGCUCACUCGUCCGGUACUGACGCUGAGGUGCGAAAGCGUGGGGAGCAAACAGG